GUCUAACAGUCCCAGUCUGAGACCUCAGUGUGUUGUGCAUGUUUUUGUUUGUUCAGAUGUGCUCUGUCUCUGGUUACAGGUUACAUCCAUAGGGCCUAAUGAGGAUUACCUGAGGAAGAUACAUACAGGACCUUGCCCGCUGCUUGCUCCAGCACCUGCUGUGGUUACCUGAGCCAGAAAAGAUGAUAUUAAACACGGGUGACAACUAUUACACUGCUCUAAACUACACUGUAGAGUGAUAUUAAGGAUAAAUCUGAUAUGUAUUCUAAAAUAUUUACAUUUGUAAUUUAUUUUAUCGUAGUUAUUGUAAUUUAUUUAGUUUAUUGUCUCUGUUCACAACAAGAUACAAUAGCAGAUCCAAUUAUGUGCUUCCUCUUCCUGGUUGUUCUUGUAUGCUGGAAGUAUUAUGUAAUGACUGAAGACCGGCCAUUCUUCUUCAGGAUUUUCUGUUAGUGAGCAGAAUUCAUGUUUCCCUCAGUUACUGCAAGUUGCCCAGGCCCGGAAGCAGCAAAGCAUCCCAACACCAUCACACUUCCACCACCAUGCUUGACUGUAGGGUUGGUGGACACUGGAGCCUAUCCCAGGGGACUUGGGCACAGGUGGGGGACACCCUGGCUGCCAACCCAUUGCAGGGCACAAUCGCACACACACUCAUACACCCUAGCACACACUAUGGACAA